UGGUACGCGCUACACAAUUGUUCAGCCA
rnacentral:piRNA from 1 species